rnacentral:rRNA from 1 species
CGCCUCCUGCAAACAUCAAUGUAUAGGAGGUCUUGCCUGCCCAGUGACAAGUUAAACGGCCGCGGUAUUUUGACCGUGCGAAGGUAGCGCAAUCACUUGUCUUUUAAAUGAAGACCUGUAUGAAUGGCGAAACGAGGGCUUAACUGUCUCCCUUCUCCAGUCAAUGAAAUUGAUCUGCCCGUGCAGAAGCGGACAUACAAAUACAAGACGAGAAGACCCUUUGGAGCUUAAGAUAAUAGACCAACUAUGUCAAGAACCUAAAAAACAGGUCAAACAAAGUAGCAACUGGUCCAUAUCUUCAGUUGGGGCGACUGCGGGAGAAAACAAAGCUCCCAUGAGGAAUGGGAUAUAUGUCCUAAAACUAAGAAAGACACUUCUAAGUCACAGAAUAUCUGACCACCUAGAUCCGGCCAUCCGCCGACCAACGGACCAAGUUACCCUAGGGAUAACAGCGCAAUCCCCUUUCAGAGUCCAUAUCGACAAGGGGGUUUACGACCUCGAUGUUGGAUCAGGACAUCCUAAUGGUGCAGCCGCUAUUAAGGGUUCGUUUGUUCAACGAUUAAAGUCCU